CGCGUCGCGUCCUCAUUUUGCUGUAUACUAUUAUCUAUAGGUUUUGAUUCAUUUAACGAUAUAUUACUUUUCAAUGUUUUUAUCUCAUUAAUCCUCCAUUGAUCAAAAGAGCGCGAUUACCAGUAAGGCAGAACACUUUAGUUAUAAUUCAAGUCGGAAAUAUUAUUGUAUAUGAACCUGGUAUUUCUACUAAUAGAUUAACAAGUAUGCAGAUUUAUUUUUCUAUUUAAAUCAAGUCUUCUACUUCUUUAUACAAACUGUCGCAUGAUUGCAUUUCCAUAUAUUGUAUAUCCAUGUAUUAACGCCUAGGUAUACUGAAAAAAUGCAUUCUUAACCUAGAAUUUAUUGCGUAGGUUCACAAAGCAGAAAUUUACAGCUUAUAACAUCACGCCAAUUGAGGAAGUCUUUUAGGAUGAUGGGAAUAAUCAGAUGUGUUAUCAUUAUCUUUACACUUUACAUAAUACGCCUGUCGGAUGUACAUUGCGCAGAAGAUACUUUCAUCAGAACACGAGUUGGUGUUGCAAACAAUCGGGUGACAAAGGAUACUGAUGCAGUCGAUCAAAAAAUAGCAAAUGAGCGACACUCCAGGGUCAGGCGGUCCACUGGGUUUUCAGCAAACGAAUCGCAGGCUAUACUUGACAAACACAAUGACCUGCGAUCACAGGUUUCUCCAGAGGCUUCAGAUAUGGAGUUUAUGACAUGGAAUGACGAUCUUGCAACGAUGGCUCAACAGUGGUCCGACAUGUGUAACUCACGGACAGCCA